GACGAACGCUGGCGGCGUGCUUAACACAUGCAAGUCGAACGGAAAGGCCCUGCUUUUGUUGGGUGCUCGAUUGGCGAACGGGUGAGUAACACGUGAGUAACCUGCCCUUAUCUUUGGGAUAACUUCAGGAAACUGGGGCGCAUACCGGAUAGGAGCUCCUGCUGCAUGUGGUUGGUUGGAAAGUUUCGGCGGUGGUGGAUCGACUCGCUGCUUAUCAGCUUGUUUGUGUAGUAGUGGCUUACCAAGGCUUUGACGGGUAGCCGGCCUGAGAGGGUGACCGGCGACAUUGGGACUGAGAGACGGACCAGAAUGGUACGGGAGGCAGCAGUGGGGAGUAUUGCAGAAUGGGCGGAAGCGUGAUGCAGAAACGCCGCGUGCGGGAUGACGGCCUUCGGGUUGUAAACCGAUUUGGAAUGUGAUGAAGAGUGAGUGACGGUAAUGGGUAAAGAAGCACCGGCUAACUACGUG
rnacentral:rRNA from 1 species